rnacentral:rRNA from 1 species
GACGAACCGUGCGAACGUUGUUCGGAAUCACUGGGCAUAAAGGGCGCGUAGGCGGCUUUUCAAGUCAGGGGUGAAAUCCGGCAGCUCAACUGUCGAAGUGCCCUUGAUACUGAUGAGCUCGAGGGAGGUAGGGGUGUGUGGAACUUCCGGUGGAGCGGUGAAAUGCGUUGAUAUCGGGAGGAACACCAGUGGCGAAGGCGACUUCCUGGCCUGUUCUUGACGCUGAGGCGCGAAAGCUAGGGUAGCAAACGGG